AUGUACCGGCAAUCAUUUUUGGAGAAGAAGGGCCUUACAAAUAUGGAGAUUGAUAAAGUCUUUCGGCGUGUGCCUUUAAGCCAUGACUUUUUUUGUUGUAAAAUAGUUAUCUUUCAUACACUUUCCUGUAUGUUCAUCUCUUUUGCCAAUAGAGUUUGUCUCUUUGUUAAGAGAACAUGCGGAUCAGAUGUUUGCCAUUCUAGCAAUGUAUUCAUAUCUUGUAGAUCUCUUCUAUUAAAAUCAAAAUAUUACAUUUAG